GGGGUUGGAGCUCAGUGGUAGAGUGUUUGCCUAGCAUGCAUGAAGCCCUGGGUUCAAUCCCCAGCACCCCUA
rnacentral:tRNA from 1 species